rnacentral:rRNA from 1 species
CACGUUUCUUUUACAACCUCUCUUAAGGGAAGAUGGAUAUAUCACAUACAUUAUGUAUGUAAAUAUUUCCCGCACUCCCAGGGCGCUUGUAUCUCGCUUUGCGAAUCGAUGCGCACCUAGAGCGUACACGAUGAUACCCGAAAGAUGGUGAACUAUGCCUGGCCAGGACGAAGCCAGGGGAAACCCUGGUGGAGGUCCGCAGCGAUUCUGACGUGCAAAUCGAUCGUCGGAGCUGGGUAUAGGGGCGAAAGACCAAUCGAACCAUCUAGUAGCUGGUUCCCUCUGAAGUUUCCCUCAGGAUAGCUUGCACUCGGUUGAGAAGAGUCUCAUCCGGUAGAGCGAAUGAUUAGAGGCAUUGGGGUCGAAACGACCUCAACCUAUUCUCAAACUCCAAAUAGAUGAGAUCCCCGGCUUUCUUAAAAGUGAAGCCGUGGGGCUAUGAUCAGAGUGCCAAGUGGGCCAAU